ACGAACGCUGGCGGCGUGCUUAACACAUGCAAGUCGAACGGAAAGGCCCUGCUUUUGUGGGGUGCUCGAGUGGCGAACGGGUGAGUAACACGUGAGUAACCUGCCCUUGACUUUGGGAUAACUUCAGGAAACUGGGGCUAAUACCGGAUAGGAGCUCCUGCUGCAUGGUGGGGGUUGGAAAGUUUCGGCGGUUGGGGAUGGACUCGCGGCUUAUCAGCUUGUUGGUGGGGUAGUGGCUCACCAAGGCUUUGACGGGUAGCCGGCCUGAGAGGGUGACCGGCCACAUUGGGACUGAGAUACGGCCCAGACUCCUACGGGAGGCAGCAGUGGGGAAUAUUGCACAAUGGGCGGAAGCCUGAUGCAGCAACGCCGCGUGCGGGAUGACGGCCUUCGGGUUGUAAACCGCUUUCGCCUGUGACGAAGCGUGAGUGACGGUAAUGGGUAAAGAAGCACCGGCUAACUACGUG
rnacentral:rRNA from 1 species